rnacentral:ncRNA from 14 species
UGUAGCUCAACGGUAGAGCGUGUGGCUGUUAACCACAAAGUUGUAGGUUCGAGACCUACCA